UAGAGACAUUUGCUCUUACUUUGCUCCAGGAGAGCCUCCCCAAGCCCUUUGCACUGGUUCUCUCCACACAGGGGAUUUGCAUGUUGUUCUCUAGGGAGGCCCUUCCCUUGCAAGUCUGAGAUAAAAGGUCAGUUCUCAUUUUGCUUAUCAGGGCUCAUCAGUUCAACCUCCCAAAAUGACUUCCCCUGCUCAGCUCCUGGGGCUGCUGAUUCUCUGGAUCACUGGAUCCAGUGGAGAAAUCGUGAUGACACAGACCCCGCUGUCACUGUCCGUCACCCCCGGAGAGCCGGCCUCCAUCUCCUGCAGGGCUAGUCAGAGCCUCCUACAUAGUAAUGGAAACACCUAUUUAAAUUGGUACCGGCAGAAGCCAGGCCAGUCCCCACAGCUCCUCAUCUACUUGGUUUCCAACCGUUUCACUGGAGUCCCAGACAGGUUCAGUGGCAGCGGGUCAGGGACAGAUUUCACGUUGAGGAUCAGCAGGGUGGAGGCUGACGAUAUGGGAGUUUAUUACUGCGGGCAAAAUCUACAGUCUCCUCCCACAGUGGUUCAGGCCGGAACACAAACCUCCUGCCUGGGGUCCCAGCUGCCCCAGGGAGGAGCUUCUCUGGGGAACUGACAGGACAUUCUCUGA